CAUAUCCUGUUGUACAAAAAUUAUUAAAAAAAAUUGUUAAAAUAUCAUCUUCCUUUAUUUAAUUGUACCAAUGACGAUAGUCAGAAAUGCAGUUCUCUAAGGGUUGUGAUGAGAACGUUUGAAUGCCCCGUUGUCAGUCCUUGAGGGGAUAAAUGAUGCUGCAACUUGUCCUUGGUCCAACAUAGGGAUUCAUUCACUAGUACAUAGUCGAGGGGAUCGUUGAACUUGGAUAGCCAUUAUUCUCUGAAGGGCAUAUGCAUGAGAGGGAACCUUCAGUUCGUGCACUCAUUUUCAUCCUAUGAAACUGACACUCUCAACAUAUAUUCUUUAUACAUAUCUUCAUCGGAAUAUGAAGCUUGAUUAGCAGCAGAAAGAAGAAGAGAUGAACAAAUGUCAUGGAAGUGCCAAGGUUGAAGUUUGAGCAUAAAAGGGUUGGUCAAAUCGUUUACAAGUGGUUGUUUUGGUUUAGGGCUUUAAGGGUAGCUUGAUCAUAACUUAUCUCUGGUCAGGGCGAUGAUGAUGGAGUAAGUUGGAAUUUGGAGGGUUCAGAGAUGUUAGGUAGAAUAGUUUGCAAGGCUCAAUUAAUUGGUAUGAGACCAAAGCAGGUUUUCUUUUUUUGAUGACCUUGAUGACCAUUCGGUCUUCUGUUUUCGAGGUAGGCUCAGCAAGAGCAGGUUUGGGUAUUUUGAGGUUUUAGGUUUGGAAGGAGAACCUUGUGUCUUGCAUUGUGCAAAACCAGUCUUCAUUUGUGGUGGUUGAAGGCUAGGGUUCUACACAGAGAAGUUUUGGUUUGACUUAACUUGAUGUAAGUAAGAUUGUUUGGGAAGGUUGCUGAGGGCAUUGGAGAGAAGUGUUUUGGAUCAACUAUUUAAAUCUUGGUCAAGGUGGAGGAAUUUGUGGCAAACGGAAGGGUUUCUCUCGAGGUAGACGGUGAAAACUAUAAGGAUAACUAGGGUUUUACAUAAGUUCUAGCUAAAUUUCCAUGUGUAUUAUCAUUUGAUGUAUGACAACAACAUACACAUAACUAUAGAAUGCACUUCUUUUAAUACUAUUUUCACAUUCUACUC